rnacentral:rRNA from 1 species
UACAGAGGUCUCAAGCGUUGUUCGGAUUCAUUGGGCGUAAAGGGUGCGUAGGUGGCGCCAUAAGUCGGGUGUGAAAUCUCGGGGCUUAACUCCGAAACUGCAUUCGAUACUGUGGUGCUUGAGGACUGGAGAGGAGACUGGAAUUCAUGGUGUAGCAGUGAAAUGCGUAGAUAUCGUGAGGAAGACCGGUGGCGAAGGCGGAUCUCUGGACAGUUCCUGACGCUGAGGCGCGAAGGCCAGGGGAGCAAACGGG